UGGGGAAUCUUGGGCAAUGGGCGAAAGCCUGACCCAGCAACGCCGCGUGGGUGAUGAAGGCCUUCGGGUCGUAAAGCCCUGUCGGAAGGAAAGAAAUACCCCGGGGUUAAUACCUCCGGGACGUGACGGUACCUUCAAAGGAAGCACCGGCUAACUCCGUGCCAGCAGCCGCGGUAAGACGGAGGGUGCUAGCGUUGUUCGGAAUUAUUGGGCGUAAAGCGCGUGUAGGCGGUCCGUUAAGUCAUGCGUGAAAGCCCUCGGCUCAACCGGGGAACGGCGUAUGAAACUGGCGGACUAGAGUACGGAAGAGGGGGGUGGAAUUCCAGGUGUAGCGGUGAAAUGCGUAGAUAUCUGGAGGAACACCGGUGGCGAAGGCGGCCCCCUGGUCCGACACUGACGCUGAGACGCGAAAGCGUGGGGAGCAAACAGG
rnacentral:rRNA from 1 species